rnacentral:rRNA from 1 species
UACAGAGGGGGCAAGCGUUGUUCGGAAUUACUGGGCGUAAAGGGCGCGUAGGCGGCCUUCUAAGUCGAACGUGAAAUCCCCGGGCUCAACCCGGGAACUGCGUCCGAUACUGGAAGGCUUGAAUCCGGGAGAGGGAUGCGGAAUUCCAGGUGUAGCGGUGAAAUGCGUAGAUAUCUGGAGGAACACCGGUGGCGAAGGCGGCAUCCUGGACCGGUAUUGACGCUGAGGCGCGAAAGCGAGGGGAGCAAACGGG